CCAUAAGCUAGUGAUGAAGUGUCUAUAAGAGAUAAUGGUGGAAAUAGGCCAGGCCAGGUUAGGCUUUGUCUUAAACAGGUCCAGCCUAUAUAGCAUAUAGGAGCCUGGGCCUGGCCUGUUAGCCUGUUUAAAAAAAAAUUAAAGUCUGAGCCUGACCUGUUUAAAAGUCUGGUCUGGCCUGUUAGCAUGUUUAAAGAUCUAUUAUACUAUAUGGUCAUGAAAUAGACUACUAUGUCUACAUUUAAAUUGGCUUAUAGGCCUACUUUUAGUUAUGUCCAUCAAAUUCUAAUAAUUAAAUUACAUUUUUGUAUACAUUUUUAUAUCAAUAUUAC
rnacentral:lncRNA from 1 species